GAAAUGCGAUAAGUAGUGUGAAUUGCAGAAUUCGGUGAAUCAUCGAAUCUUUGAACGCACAUUGCGCCCUUUGGUAUUCCUUAGGGCAUGCCUGUUCGAGCGUCAUCUAAACCUUCAAGCCCUGCUUGGUGUUGGGUGCCUGUCCCGCCUCCGCGCGCGGACUCACCUCAAAUCCAUUGGCGGCCCCCGCGUCGGCCACGAGCGCAGCAGAAACGCGAACUCGUGAGCCCGUCCGGGCGGCUCCCAGAAGCUACACCCACCCAGUUUGACCUCGGAUCAGGUAGAGAUACCCGCUGAACUUAAGC
rnacentral:misc_RNA from 1 species